GGCUAGUCCAAGUGCAGUGGUGUUUACAACCAGCUGAUCAGAGCCAGUUACAGAUUCCUUCGUUCCUUCACUCCCACUGCUUCACUUGACCAGCUUUAA
rnacentral:Y_RNA from 1 species